rnacentral:rRNA from 1 species
GACGAACGCUGGCGGCGUGCUUAACACAUGCGUGUCGAACCAAGUGGCGAACGGGGGAGAAAUACGUGGGCAUCCUGCCCUCCUCUGUGGGAUAAGCCUUGGAAACGGGGUCUAAUACCGAAUAAAGGGGGAUGGGCUCGCGGCCUAUCAGCUUGUUGGUGGGGUGAUGGCCUACCAAGGCGGUGACGGGUAGCCGGCCUGAGAGGGUGGCCUGUGACGUGGGGAUGGAGAUACGGCCCAGCCUCCUACGGGAGGCAGCAGUGGGGGAUAUUGCACAAUGGGCGAAAGCCGCAUCCACCGACGCCGCGUGGGUGAUGAAGGUUGUCGGGUUGUAAACUUCUUUAGCUACCGAGCUGGUAGGUGGCCAGGAAGCGCCUGCUAACUUCGUGCCAGCAGCCGCGGUAAUUC